GAAAUGCGAUAAGUAGUGUGAAUUGCAGAAUUCAGUGAAUCAUCGAAUCUUUGAACGCACAUUGCGCCCCUUGGUAUUCCAUGGGGCAUGCCUGUUCGAGCGUCAUUUGUACCCUCAAGCUCUGCUUGGUGUUGGGUGUUUGUCCCCGUCUCCGCGCGUGGACUCGCCCCAAAGUGAUUGGCAGCCGGCGUACUGGUCCCGGAGCGCAGCACAUGUCGCGCAAACGAGUGCCUUGGUACGGCGGCGUCCAUAAGCCCCUCUCUCACACUCUUGACCUCGGAUCAGGUAGGGAUACCCGCUGAACUUAAGCA
rnacentral:misc_RNA from 1 species